UAAAAUUUCGUGUUUAUAAUCAGAACUGUUCAUAUUAUAAAUCACCCUAUAAAGAUCGCAUCUACAAAAAAUUAAUUAAAACUAAGGUCGUUUAAUCAUCAAAUUAUUUAAAAACAAAUGAAAGGUAUUAGUAAAAGCAUUAUGAACCGUCUAUGUAUUUGCUAUAAUAGAUUGACUAAACUAGUUUAGUUUUAAUUUAUUUUUUACAAAGAUGAUCUUUAAAGUGUGAUUCAUAAUAUGAACUAUUCUGAUCAUAAGCACAAAUCUUUGUAAUUAAAAUAUUAAGAAUUUUGAAUAAGAAUUCGUACUUAUUUUUCAGUAACCAAGUAUUGUUCUUUAAAAAAUAGUUAUCGUCUCGAUGCGAUCUUCAGAUUUAAGGUUUUAUCAAGAGUAGUUGAAAUAUUUAAAACUUCAUAAAUAAAUAGGAGGUGAGACAAAUUAAAGGUUAUAACUGAUAGUGGAAUGGAUAACCAUGCAACUAGAAGAAUGCGGAUUUGCAUCCUCUCUUGAGCAAAAGAGACGGAGCCUCCUGAUCCAAAUACACAGAUCGUUAGAAUUUAAUUUAACGGUUAUAAUUAUUAUAACUUUUAAAAGAAUCUUACGUUUGUAGCCGUUGGAUCAAAAUCUAACGAUCCGUAUAUUUUGGUCAGGAGGAUUCGUCUCUCUUACUUAGGAGGGGAUCCAAAUCCGUAGAAUGCAAACUUUUUCUUCCAUGCAACCAUGCACCAUUAAAGAUUUGUUUUUUCUUCAAAUUUAAUAUGUGUUUGGACCCACUUUUUCGUCAUCUGCUCAUGUGUUGUAGGCCAUUGGAUAGAGUAGCUGUUAAAAUAAUUUUUAGUUAUUAUUUAAUAGAUAAGUUGUGAUUUUUAAUGAUAAUUAUCUAUUAAAAGUUUA